CCUACGGGUCGCACCAGUGGGGAAUAUUGGACAAUGGGCGAAAGCCUGAUCCAGCAAUGCCGCGUGUGUGAAGAAGGUCUUCGGAUUGUAAAGCACUUUCGACGGGGACGAUGAUGACGGUACCCGUAGAAGAAGCCCCGGCUAACUUCGUGCCAGCAGCCGCGGUAAUACGAAGGGGGCUAGCGUUGCUCGGAAUGACUGGGCGUAAAGGGCGCGUAGGCGGUUUAUGCAGUCAGAUGUGAAAUCCCCGGGCUUAACCUGGGAACUGCAUUUGAGACGCAUAGACUAGAGGUCGAGAGAGGGUUGUGGAAUUCCCAGUGUAGAGGUGAAAUUCGUAGAUAUUCGGAGGAACACCAGUGGCGAAGGCGGCUUACUGGCUCGAUACUGACGCUGAGGUGCGAAAGCGUGGGUAGCAAACAGGAUUAGAUACCCGGGUAGUC
rnacentral:rRNA from 1 species